CCUCUCGCUAGAUUGAGUUCUGGUCCUUGAAGGGAGGGAAGGGGACGUCAGCCUAAAAAUAUCCCAGCAGGAGAAAGAGAAGAAGGAAAUCAAGGAGCAAAGCUCGUGAUCCAUUUUGAAAAGAGGCCGUCAUUUUGUCGUGAUGCUGAGAUGGGGAGGAGUUUCAGCACCGCGGACAGCUCCCGUUCACAUACGCAGAUCUCUACAGGAAUCGGGAUUCUCCAGCUCAAGCAGAGACAUUCAAUUCAGAGCAUGGCAAACGUUUCAACUCAGAUUUCAGCUUUUAAUGUGUGUACAGGACAGAUUUAAUAUAAAUGUAAUGAAGUUAGAGACAUAGAUCUUACACCUUAUUGCCGUUGGUGAAAGAAAUGGGAAAUAACAGUAAACCAAUGAAAGUCAUUGUUUUUGUUUUUUUAUUUUUUGUGUGUGUGAAUUUUACAUUUAGGGCAUAACUUAUUACCAUAUAAUACAUUUACAUUAAAAUCAUGCAAAGCUUCUUUAGAAGCUGUAUGUUUGGCACAAAUGUACAACAAUGUACCAAAUGAUGUUAAUGGAUUUUUAUUUUUAAGUUUAAAAUAUUUCCAAAGAUUUUAUACUGAUUAAUUUAUUUAUGUAUUUAUUUAUUUGGAAUCAGUGUCACGUAGGUACCUUCUUUGAGACAAACAAAACUUAAAGUAGUAAAACAGUUUUAUAAGGUUUAGGUAAUUAUUAUGUAUUUUGCAUUAACUUUUCAAAACAUUAUUCAGCCUAUUCAUUAUUUCAAAAACUUACCAACACAAAAAAACUCUCAAUAUGAAAUAGAACGGAAAAUCUGUCUUGAAGAAAUAAAGAACUUUAACAAAUAUUAAAGACACACAUAAAAACUGGAGGGAGGAAAAAAAUGUGAAGCAUUACAGCUUUGCAAACGUUGUUGUGUUCAAUUCAUUUGUAGGCAGAUAUACACGGGCAAGAAAUGCCUAUAAGAUUCGAUGUUAUAAAUUAAAAUUAAAAGUUACGUGUCAUUAUUUAAGUUAAAUGUUUCAUUUAGUACCUAUAAUCUGUAUGUUCCAUAUCUGUCGGAUUUUCUUCCACCUGACCAAAAAGUAAAUGCAAACCAUUUAUCUGAUUCAUGUUGUGUCAUGUCAAAUAAAAAAGUCUACUUGUGUCCAAGAGAUCUAACAACAUCAAAUACCUCAAAACAUUCUCAUGCCUACAAAAUUUAGACAAGAAGAUCUCAAGGUUAAUGAGCCGAUAUGUCAUGGAAUAGUUGUUAUUUUAACUUCCGCAUUUAUUUCACAUGACAUCUGAGUGUACACUCUGCUGUCUUUUUUCCUUAUUGCACUUAUGUUCAUGACUUCACAGAUGUAGCAUCCUCACCCUGAUAGUACCCGCAGAAACUGCAUGGAUGCUUUCAUCACUAACCACUUGCUGCACCUGAACUACACAGAAUGGACACUCUGACUGAACCAAAUAAAGCAAAUGGAGAAAA